rnacentral:rRNA from 1 species
UGGGGAAUAUUGCACAAUGGGCGCAAGCCUGAUGCAGCCAUGCCGCGUGUGUGAAGAAGGCCUUCGGGUUGUAAAGCACUUUCAGCGGGGAGGAAGGCGUUAAGGUUAAUAACCUUGGCGAUUGACGUUACCCGCAGAAGUAGCACCGGCUAACUCCGUGCCAGCAGCCGCGGUAAUACGGAGGGUGCAAGCGUUAAUCGGAAUUACUGGGCGUAAAGCGCACGCAGGCGGUCUGUCAAGUCGGAUGUGAAAUCCCCGGGCUCAACCUGGGAACUGCAUUCGAAACUGGCAGGCUAGAGUCUUGUAGAGGGGGGUAGAAUUCCAGGUGUAGCGGUGAAAUGCGUAGAGAUCUGGAGGAAUACCGGUGGCGAAGGCGGCCCCCUGGACGAAGACUGACGCUCAGGUGCGAAAGCGUGGGGAGCAAACAGG